rnacentral:lncRNA from 1 species
CAAGUUCUGAAGCCACGUUAAUCCCUACUGAGGAGUAAGAGCCUAGAAAAAGCCGCAGCAUAACCACAGAGUUUUCUCUCUGAAGGACAGGCUGGAUUAUCGUUUCACUUAGAAAUGUUAGAAUGAAUCAUGCCCUUCUCCAACACUGUUCCAGAAGACCACCAUAUUCACACAGGAAGGUAGAUGCUUGGCACAGGAGGAAGACAGUAGGAUGGGACUGGCAUACCUUGGAUCCUAUCAACUCAUGUACGGCGGUGAGAGAAUAAAGUGGAGUGACCAUAGGGAAGGACUCUGGAAGAUGGUCGCAAAAGUUAUGGCU